ACUAGAAACCUAGGCGCGGCGUUGCCGCGCGCUGUCAUGAGCCUGCCAGCGCAUGACGGUACGAGGCGGACUACUAAUAUUGUUCUUGCAGAGUAGUUUGUGAAAGAAGAGCGGCGAGGAAGAUCUUCGUUAUAACAAUACCUCAAAUUUAUAUUCCUCCGUUUAUUUUUGAUGCAAAUGCCAGUUUUUUUUUGUUACAUAGUUGGCUUGUUUAGCGUUAUUUGACAUUAUGAUGUUUAUUUGUGUUUUUUUAGUAGUGAGAUUACUCCUGCAGGUUUUUCUUUAUACUUCGUUCUUGGCUCAGAAGUAUGCAUUAUUCAUAUCACUCGCUGGCAUUGUGUAUGAAAAAGGCCUUUCCCGCCAGAUUCAUCGCUAACAGUGAACUAUCACUUAGUGUACAGCUUGAGAUCAGUAGCUUGUUGAGAUUUGUCAAUGUAUUCAGCUGCAGGAUCAAUUGUAUGCAGCUCUAGGCAUAAGGUUCGGCCCGUAAAAGCCAUUUUAGAUCAUUUAUUUAAAAAAUCCUUCCGAUGUAACCAUUGACCAAUCACACUUGUACAUGUCCUCACUUAUUAAUUCAGUUAUAAAUGUCCAAAAUCACACAA